AAGAGAUUGAAGAAGCAGAAACUAAGCUAGCCAGUCCACACAAGUGCAACUGUGGACAAGCUUAAGGACACCAAAGGCAAUUGCCAUUUCAUUCUCAUCUAUUAAUGAUGGUCACGAAUGGUUCUGAGAACUAUUGUGCUAUUAACAUUAUGGAUGUCCUUCCCUUGUUUUGGGUCACUGUCCCAAAUUCCUGACGUGGGCAAGUUGGGGCCACUUCUUGGCAAGGCCAGGUUAGAAUCGAGCCCCCAGAGAGAGGCUCCUCAGAGUUCUUGACUAGAUGCCCCAGACCAUGGGGGCUGGGUUGAAGCCUAGGGACCCAUGACUUCACUUGUUUUUCAUUCCCUUAAGUUGUACUCUUAACUUGGGACAGAAGGAACCCAUCUCCCUUCCAGCUCUGGGUUACUCAGCAUCACAGUAAUUACAGAAAUCAGCAGCCACCGCCAACCAGCCCGGGAAUAAAGGGUUCGCUUCCCUGUCUCCUUUAUUUGAGGGGAAAUCUUGUCCGAGCCAUGAGCAAAUCUUCAAAUUGAUGUAAUUUGAAGUUUCAAAGUGCUGGAUGCAGCUUUGCUUCCGACUGCCAUCUGCUUUCUAGUGCGCAAUGACACCGAGCCUGUUUUUACUGUAUUUGCUCUAUCUAGUCCACCAGUAAAAUAUUAAUAAUUCCCCCAGUGCCUGGGCGGUCUGCAUGCUUGGGAUGAUAUCUGGCCAUUCAUCAAGCUCAUCAAAGUUAUGAGCAAAAUAAUUUCUCUCCUUAAGCGGAGAGGGGAGGGAGGAAUCUGGAUUUUUAUUACUCGUGCAUAUCACUAAGUGACACUUUUAGCAAUCUCUGCUCAGGGAAAAAAGGAAAUAAGCAUAUUGCUCCUGGUCCCAACAUGGGACACACUUUCUCCACAGAGAGAUAGUUUUCCAGCCAAGCAAGAAAACAAGCUAUCUGCAGAUUCCACUAAGAUAAGAUGGAAAGUCAGGUACCAUCCCUAAGGCCUCUUAUCCCUCACUCUUCAUGUGUAAUUGGAUACUACAUCUUAUUGAGUCUGGGUUCAUCCUCCUCUCUCCAUUCCUACAGCCACUGUUUUAGCCCAGGCCUUUACCAGGUAGUCUGGGUCAGCAUGAUCAGCUGCCUCUGGCUUCCUAACCUUCCCCAAUCAACGUCUCUUUCCUUCCCCAAACUAUCACCAGAGAUGGAACUUAUAACUUUCUAUAGGAUUUUAUCAGUCAUUGCCUUCACAGCCUUCCUUGGCUCCCCAUUGCCCUAAAGAUGAGGUCCACAUUCCUUAGCAUGGUUUCCAGGACUUAGCUCUCCCUCCAUUUCCACAGUAGCACCCUAUGUACCAGCCAGUCCUUAUUCUUCUGGUUCAACACAACCCCUCUUCCCAGUGGGGUUUGCGUAGGAAAGAAGAUGUACAGAGGAUCCCACAUGGUGCCUGGUCAAUAGCAUGUUUCACCUGUCAUUACUAUUGUCCUACUCAUUAUAAAAAAGAGAACACUAUCCAGGUCACACUGCUUGAUCUCUGUCCUCAUCAAAGGUAUCCCCCCAAAUAAACAGAUUCCACUAUUUCCUUCCACUUGGGUGCCAGGGAAAAUUGUCUCUUGGCCUCCAUGCUGUAUGUAAAAGGCCAUAUUGCAAAGUGAUGAAGAAUUCUAAGCCAGGACAUCUUAGGUGAAAGGCUGGUUCUGCCACUUACUAGCUCUGUGAAUCUGGGAAAUCUGUUUAACCACUCCAUGUCUUCAGCCUGAUUAUCAUUGAAGUGAGCAUGGUAAUAAGUAUCUAAUAAAAGACACACACGAACCUUUCUACAGAAAAGAAACAUACUCAUGGGCUUAGAGAACAGGCUUGUAUUUGCCAAGGGGGAGAGGGAGGGAGUGGGGUGGACUGGGAAUUUGGGGUUAGUAGAUGCAAACUAUUGCAUUUGGAGUGGAUAACCGAUGAGAUCCUACUGUAUAGCACAGGGAACUAUAUCUAGUCACUUUUGAUGGAACAUAAUGAAGGAUAAUCUGAGAAAAAGAAUGAAUAUAUAUGUGUGUGACUGGGUCACUUUUCUGUACCGCAGAAAUUGACAGAACAAUAUAAAUCAACUAUAACAGAAAAAAUAAAAAUCUUACCCCAAAAAAGUAUCUACAUGUAAACUACAGGCAAGAUUGAAAGAGUCAAUAAACAUUGAGCACUAACAAUAAGAGCGGGUACAUAGUGAAUACUCAAUUAGCAACUGAGUACUAACUUUGGUAUACACACAUCUCUGAAGGCAGAUUUGCACUUUGAUAAAGGGACCAUAGACUCUCACCACGUAAUGCCUUGGCUCAGGGUAUGUCCUGUGCCAGGAAUUCUCUUCUUCCAUCAUUGUCCAUCUGGGGAAAGAUCAUUUUUUCUUCAAGACUCACCAAGUUGGCCUUGGCAGGUAGUGAAGUGGAGAGGUAUUUGGGGAUACAUUUGACUUUCACUGCAACACAUUCACUUUAUAUCUACGUAAUGUUGAGUAGGUUGAUGGACCCACCUGUAUCGGAGAGAAGAUUGCCCCUUAGAGGAUGUGUGUGUCUCAUUCAAUACAUUUCAGGGCUCCAAACACUUUCCCUUUACCCCUGUUGUGUGUAGAAAUGGAGUAGUCCCUCUGCUAUGCUCCCUCUAAAAUAUAUGUACUUCUAUUAUAGCUAUAGUCACUCUAUUUUCUGAACUAAAAGUUGGUAUGUGCUCCUAUCUCACCUAGAUUACUUUGACUUCUGACUAGUGGGUUUCUGACCAGUCUUGUUCUUUAGCUUCCUCUACCCAGAGCUGUCUCCUAAAAAUGCAAAUUGUUCAAGCCACUCCCCUCAGAGCAAUACUGGGAGCAAACUUGGAUUGAAUCUCUUCACCUAUAAAUCAAGUUCAAACUUUUUGGAACGACAUUUAAGAUUCCCAAAGUCCUCCCCAACCUUGCUAUGCCAACCCCAACUCUGGCCACUGCCCUGCUCAAGUAUGCAUUGCUCCCACUGUCCUCAGAACAAGCCAUGGACCCCAGGCUGGGUUCAGGAAUCACCUCUACCUGGAAUGCCUCUCUGUUACCUCCUCACCAACCGAAAUCCCCCCACAACAUCUAAGGCCCAGGUGAGCCACCCUACCUUCCCAAAGUCUUACCAAAUCUCCACUCUACCCACAUUCCCCACAACAACUGUAGUAAAUGAGAUAAAUUAACAGAGAGACUUAAAUUUCAGAGCCAACAAUCAUAAGUAGUAAGAUGGAUCUCAAACCCAAAUGUUCUGAUUCUAAAUGUUUCUAACUUAUCUUCUUGUCCUCAUCCUAUGUUGCUUCUCUCUUUACCUUCCUCAAGACCCUCCUAACCCAUAAUAACCAGGGACUCUAAAACUCUCAGAUACCAUACAUGUCUGAAACUGUCAGUCACAUAGGGUCAUUUGCUUCUUCUUUUGUUUCCCUCUUCAUUUCUGACUCAUGUGUGAUGAAGCUCAUACACGGCUGGCAGAAGUCUAAGUGGACAGAACUUUUGGAAAGCAAUUUGGCUGUAUGUAUUCAGAGUCUGCAAAAUAUUCACACUCUUUUACUUAAUUAUCCCUAUUCUGUAAAUCUCUAAGAAAUUGAUCAAAACUGAUUGAAUGAUUGUAUGCAUGUAUGUGUGUGAGCACAUGUGCGUGCACACAGAUGCACACACAAAAGAUGUUAGAAGGAAAGACUGGAAUCAGCCUAAAUUACUAACAAUAAGGUUGGGACUUUAGUGGCAAUAGGUAGAAACUUCUGUUCUAGAAUCAGAGAAAACAAAACCUUAGCUUUACUUCUUAAUUGUUGUGUCACCUUAUGUAAAUUAUUUAACCCUUCUGUGAUUAUUCAUCUCAUCUCUAUAUUUGUCUCUAUAAAGGGAUAACAGCAGAACCUACUUCAGAGAGUUACUGUAGAACUGAAUGAAUUUUACAAGGAAAGCAUUUAACUCAGAGUCUAACACACUGAAAGCUCUUUAUAAAGAUAAGCCCAAGGGAUUUCUUGCUGUGGCUCAGUGGUAACAAAUCCAAUCAGUAUCCAUGAGGAUGUGGGUUUGAUCCCUGGCCUCACUCAGUGGGUUAAGGAUCUGGCAUUGCCACGAGCUGUAAUGUAGGUUGUAGAGGUGGCUUGGAUCUGGUAUUGCUGUAGCUGUGGUGUAGACUGGCAGCUGCAGCUCUGAUUUGACCCCCAGCCUGGGAACUUCCAUAUGCUAUGGGUGCAACCCUAAAAAACAAAAAAAAUAAAAAAAUAAAAAAAUAUAUAUAUAUAUGUAAACUCUAAAGAAUAAAUUAUAGUCGUAGUAGUAGUAGUUCUAGAGGAAGAGGAGGAUGCAGAGGUGAAGGGAGGGGAGGAAGGGGAGAAUAAAUAGAAGAGACAGCCACUAGUUAUGGUAUUACCAGUUAUUAAGCAUAUGUUUACAGUGUUUAAAUGAAUAAUGUGAGAAAUGAAUUAAAGAUUAGUGAAAAGUAGGAUUCUAAAUUGUACAAUAAUCAUCUAAAUUUUUUUUUUUUAAACCUUAGAAAAAUGCUGCUGGAAGUGCUUACUAUUAGCAAUAGUGAUACCUAGGUGGUGAGACCAUGCAUGUGUGUGUAGGGGUUAUAAUUCUUCCACAUCUUUGCUUUGUAUAUGUUUGGUCUCUGUGUGCCCAUCCCUGCCCAAACAAUAUCAUGGUUACCCUGGAAAACAUGGCAAACCACAUUAGCAUUGUCCUUUAUCACUCAUGUCCCCAACAUGAAUUUAAUGUGAGCAAAUGAAUCUUGUUGACCGAACAGGCAGUACUGUCCUCAUCUGUAAAAUGGGGACACUAAAUGUCAUAGGUUUUUUGGUAAUGAUUACAUGAGUUAUUUUAUUCAUGAUGCCCAGGGUGGUGCCUAAAACAGAAUCCUAUUUAAUGAAGAUGUUUCCAUUCCCUUGCCUUGCUUAUUUUUCUGCUUUAUUUUAAAAUGUCCAAACUGGUUGGCAAUAAGAGAAGCAGCUCUGAAACCCCAUUCUGUCACUGGCCUCUCUAGCAGCUAACCACAUAGUGCAUUUGGAGCAACUGUCAACAGGCUUUUGGUGGUAGGAACACUGGUUCAUGGAGAAAGGCCACUGACUAACUCCAUAUUGGCCACCAUGGGUUUGUGAGAUUUGAACAGAGCAGAGGAUGAGGUUCAAAUUUGACCAUCUGCUCUUGGGAAGAUCUCCAGUGCCCCUCUGUGGGCACUAACUCUGGCAUUUAGGUCAAAAUCCAACUCUAAGAAUUAGUUGUGGUUUAUGGAAAAUCCUCUUCCUUCUGUGAUAGGAAGUGAGGCUUCAUUUCCUAUUCUGAGCUCUGGAUGAUGGUGCGGUGUUCCACCCACUGAGAAGCUCUUCCAGGUAAUAAAAAAGUUCAUCUCAGGUUAUAGAGUUUGGCUCUUCGCUCAGGUGAGGUAUGAGAUUUAACCCUUCCUUCAUUUACUUAUUUAGCAUUUAAGUGGGCCAUUGCCAGGUACCACAUGUUGGGGAUGCAAAAGUGAAUUACCACCUAGACC
rnacentral:lncRNA from 1 species